rnacentral:rRNA from 1 species
GAUGAACGCUGGCGGCGUGCCUAAUACAUGCAAGUCGAGCGAACAGAUGAGGAGCUUGCUCCUCUGACGUUAGCGGCGGACGGGUGAGUAACACGUGGAUAACCUACCUAUAAGACUGGGAUAACUUCGGGAAACCGGAGCUAAUACCGGAUAAUAUAUUGAACCGCAUGGUUCAAUAGUGAAAGACGGUUUUGCUGUCACUUAUAGAUGGAUCCGCGCCGCAUUAGCUAGUUGGUAAGGUAACGGCUUACCAAGGCAACGAUGCGUAGCCGACCUGAGAGGGUGAUCGGCCACACUGGAACUGAGACACGGUCCAGACUCCUACGGGAGGCAGCAGUAGGGAAUCUUCCGCAAUGGGCGAAAGCCUGACGGAGCAACGCCGCGUGAGUGAUGAAGGUCUUCGGAUCGUAAAACUCUGUUAUUAGGGAAGAACAAAUGUGUAAGUAACUAUGCACGUCUUGACGGUACCUAACCAGAAAGCCACGGCUAACUACGU